GCUCUUGGGAUGGCUCAGUCGGUAGAGCAUGAGACUCCUAGGUUCUGGGUUCGAGUCCCACCUUGGGCA